CAGGAUGAACGCUGGCGGCGUGCCUAACACAUGCAAGUCGAGCGAAGCGGUUUUAAGGAAGUUUUCGGAUGGAAUUAAAACUGACUGAGCGGCGGACGGGUGAGUAACGCGUGGGUAACCUGCCUCAUACAGGGGGAUAACAGUUAGAAAUGGCUGCUAAUACCGCAUAAGCACACAGCUUCGCAUGGAGCAGUGUGAAAAACUCCGGUGGUAUGAGAUGGACCCGCGUCUGAUUAGCUAGUUGGUAAGGUAACGGCUUACCAAGGCGACGAUCAGUAGCCGACCUGAGAGGGUGACCGGCCACAUUGGGACUGAGACACGGCCCAAACUCCUACGGGAGGCAGCAGUGGGGAAUAUUGCACAAUGGGGGAAACCCUGAUGCAGCGACGCCGCGUGAGUGAAGAAGUAUCUCGGUAUGUAAAGCUCUAUCAGCAGGGAAGAAAAUGACGGUACCUGACUAAGAAGCCCCGGCUAACUACGUGCCAGCAGCCGCGGUAAUACGUAGGGGGCAAGCGUUAUCCGGAUUUACUGGGUGUAAAGGGAGCGUAGACGGCGGAGCAAGUCUGAAGUGAAAGCCCGGGGCUCAACCCCGGGACUGCUUUGGAAACUGUUCUGCUAGAGUGCUGGAGAGGUAAGUGGAAUUCCUAGUGUAGCGGUGAAAUGCGUAGAUAUUAGGAGGAACACCAGUGGCGAAGGCGGCUUACUGGACAGUAACUGACGUUGAGGCUCGAAAGCGUGGGGAGCAAACAGGAUUAGAUACCCUGGUAGUCCACGCCGUAAACG
rnacentral:rRNA from 1 species